GGGGGUUUAGCUCAGCUGGGAGAGCACCUGCCUUGCAAGCAGGGGGUCACGAGUUCGAAUCUCGUAAUCUCCACUA
rnacentral:tRNA from 1 species